AUCCUUUUAUAGCUCAUGAGCAUGAUGACUGGGUUUUCAUGCAUGUGUGUGAGAUGUGCCACCCUGGAAACUUGUUAUGACAUUGGCACAUUACCUGUCUGACC
ensembl:snoRNA